GGGAUAGCCUCGGGAAACUGGGAUUAAUACCCCAUAACACUUAUUUUUCGCAUGGAAGAUAAGUCAAAACUCCGGUGGUAUAGGAUGGUCCCGCGUCCCAUUAGUUAGUUGGUGAGGUAAAGGCUCACCAAGGCGACGAUGGGUAGCCGGCCUGAGAGGGUGAACGGCCACACUGGAACUGAGACACGGUCCAGACUCCUACGGGAGGCAGCAGUGGGGAAUAUUGCACAAUGGGCGAAAGCCUGAUGCAGCGACGCCGCGUGAGCGAUGAAGGCCUUCGGGUCGUAAAGCUCUGUCCUAAGGGAAGAAUAAUGACGGUACCUUAGGAGGAAGCCCCGGCUAACUACGUGCCAGCAGCCGCGGUAAUACGUAGGGGGCGAGCGUUGUCCGGAAUUACUGGGCGUAAAGGGAGCGUAGGCGGCCCUAUAAGUCAGAAGUCAAAGCCCUCGGCUCAACCGAGGUAAGCUUUUGAAACUGUAGGGCUUGAGUGCAGGAGAGGAGAGUGGAAUUCCUAGUGUAGCGGUGAAAUGCGUAGAUAUUAGGAGGAACACCAGUGGCGAAGGCGACUCUCUGGACUGUAACUGACGCUGAGGCUCGAAAGCGUGGGGAGCAAACAGGAUUAGAUACCCUGGUAGUCCACGCUGUAAACGAUGAGUGCUAGGUGUUGGAAUCGCCAGAUUUCAGUGCCGCAGUUAACACAUUAAGCACUCCGCCUGGGGAGUACGAUCGCAAGAUUGAAACUCAAAGGAAUUGACGGGGGCCCGCACAAGCAGCGGAGCAUGUGGUUUAAUUCGAAGCAACGCGAAGAACCUUACCAGGGCUUGACAUCCCUCAGACAGACCUAGAGAUAGGUUUUCCCUUCGGGGCUGAGGUGACAGGUGGUGCAUGGUUGUCGUCAGCUCGUGUCGUGAGAUGUUGGGUUAAGUCCCGCAACGAGCGCAACCCUUGCCUUUAGUUGCCAGUAUUAAGUUGGGCACUCUAGAGGGACUGCCGGUGACAAACCGGAGGAAGGUGGGGAUGACGUCAAAUCAUCAUGCCCCUUAUGUCCUGGGCUACACACGUGCUACAAUGGCCGGUACAACGGGCAGCCAACCCGCAAGGGGGAGCUAAUCCCAAUAAGCCGGUCCCAGUUCGGAUUGUGGGCUGCAACUCGCCCACAUGAAGUUGGAGUUGCUAGUAAUCGUGAAUCAGAAUGUCGCGGUGAAUGCGUUCCCGGGCCUUGUACACACCGCCCGUCACACCAUGGGAGUUAGUAAUACCCGAAGCCGUCGAGCUAACCAUUGGAGGCAGACGUCGAGGGUAGGACCA
rnacentral:rRNA from 1 species